AAGCUAGCACACGGUCCCCAUAUGUGUACACUAGUCCGAGUAGGGUUUGCCGCCCUACUAGGACCCGAAUUCGAUUUAACAUGAUUGGCACAGCCAAGCAGAUAUGUAAUCGUAAAAACAAAACAAAGCAUGACAAACAUGUUUAGAAAAGAUUCACCUUUUCAUACUAAAAUCACUUUUUGAAAAUAAUGCCCACCUGAUAUGCUUAUUCCUCAAUUUAAUUACUCGUGUUGGCCUCGCUCUGCCCUCGGGCAAAAUUUCCUUUGAAAAACACGCUAAUUAGUACUUGAACUAUUUCUCCUUAGAAAGAAUGCAUGCACCCUAUGGCAUUGCACCUAUAUCUUUAUUCUUGUCUCAUAGGAUCUCUAGUCCUUUCUCGAACUUCACUAUGUGGUAGGAUUUAUUUAUUCACUUCAACUAAAUCCAGUAAAAUUCUAUUACCUCAAACAAAUAAUCACUUGGGCACUUAUUAAAUAAAAUAUGGAUUAUGGGAAAAUCCCUUUUUAAAUAUUUCCUAUGAAUUUUCUUAAGGCCGCCCGCGACGCCGGUCGGCCCUUCGCCCUCAGAUACUUAGUAAUUUAUUUGAAAAUUAAUUAAUUGAGCUUCAACUCAAACCUUAAAUUAAUUCGAACCAAACAAUUUAUUUCCAAGCCCCACCAUUAACAUCUCGGCCCAAACUACUCUUAUUAUUUCUUUAGCCCACAUCAUCUCAAAAGUUCAUGGACUUUCCCUAGAAAUCAAUCCCCUCCAUUUAAAAGCAAGAGGAAAUCGGCCCAACUAUUAAAUAAUUAAAGGAUGCAGCUCAUUGGCCCAAGUGUGAGGAAUAUUAAGAGGCCCAAAGAUUUAAUCCACCAAGUCUUAUUGUACUCCUUCCACCAUCGGCACGUUCCUUCCACCAUAGGUUCACGGUGGGCUCUAGCAGCCUCCCAUCUCCUUCUGUUGACUUCACGGAGGAGUCCUCCGCCUCUCGUCGCGCUAUCGCCGGGCAAUCCUCUCUCUUAAGCUAAGUUUUCUUUUUUCUAUUACUUAGCUUAUUUCGUGGUUUCUACUUGGCAGUGACUAUGAAUAUUAAAAUUUUGAUUUUUGGGAGUAUUUAGCUCACUUGAAAGAGUCCUCACUUUCAUACAUGUUUACUGUGGAACGAUUUUGGUGGAUUUGCUAUUGUUGUUGGUAUUGAUGUGAAGAUCCUAAUGAAAUUCUAAGUUCUCAUGCUAUCUAUUGGCUUGUUCUAAAUUCGAUCCUGUGGCUGCACGAAACUUCCUAUAUGAUGCGUUGUUCGUGUUGGGAGAUUACCUUCACUGAAAAGUAGUCUCUGUUCUUUGAGUUUUCAGCUUUUAGACACCAAGUUCACCCACAAACCUUGGGGUUCCUAGUUGCAGUGAAGGGAAGAAUGAGUGAGUUUGAGUUGAGCAUGAAAACACUUGUGGGAAGGAAGGGAAGAGUUGUUACCUAUGGAAAGUAGGGCUGCCUGCAGGAACUCUGCAGAAAGCUCUAUUCGAAGCUCUCAAACUCCCUCUCAAAUUUGCUCUCAACUUGCUGAAUUUUUGAUGUGUGUGGAAGGGGGAAACUUAAGCAUAUGAUGGAGUUUUUAUAGACCAACUUGGUGUACUUUGGGAUGAUUAAAUGGGGCUGCCUGGACUCUUGUUUUCAUGUGCAGAAAAUCUCCCCUUUUUCGAUUCUUGCCACUUUUAAUUAAGGAAGAAUUUAUUUUAUGCUUAGGCCCAUGUCUCCCUACAUUAAUGUGCUUUGUUUGAUUUUGUAUAGUGUACCAAAAAGGGGAAAGCAGGGGCUGCCUUGAAGGGGGGAGGAGUUGCAGGACUCGGCUGCACCACUGUUGUCCGCGACGGCUCGCUGCCCCGGGCCCAACGGGCUGAUUGAAUAGGAUCGCGGUUGAGGUGCGGUUUGGGUUGGGAGGAAGUCGCCCAAGCCCUACAAACGGAUUCUUCUCUUCCCUUUUUUUUUGCUCUUUGGCCCAUUUGAGGGUGUUGUAAACAUUAAUAUCUCAUAACCCUUUCAUUUAUUUAUGUAAGGCGAUCAUGAAGUUCUCAAAAAGUUAUUCGAGCUUUAUGCAAACACUUUCAUUCGGGAAACGACUUCAUAUCCUUGUACAACGUUCCUUUUAUUUCAUAACGUAUAUUAGAUUGUUUAGUUCGUUCAA